AAUGAGGUGCCUGAAUAAAGGAUUAUUUUGAUAUAAUAAAUCAAGUGUAAACCACUCUCAUUA
rnacentral:tRNA from 1 species